rnacentral:tRNA from 1 species
GCCCUAGUAGCUUAAACUAUUUAAAGCCCUGGUCUUGUAAACCAAAAAUGAGAUGUAUUCCUCCUAGGACA